rnacentral:rRNA from 1 species
UUAAGUUAUUAAGGGCGCACGGUGGAUGCCUUGGCACUAGAAGCCGAUGAAGGACGUUACUAACGACGAUAUGCUUUGGGUAGCUGUAAGUAAGCGUUGAUCCAGAGAUUUCCGAAUGGGGGAACCCAACAUGAGUUAUGUCAUGUUAUCGACAUGUGAAUUCAUAGCAUGUCAGAAGGCAGACCCGGAGAACUGAAACAUCUUAGUACCCGGAGGAAGAGAAAGAAAAAUCGAUUCCCUGAGUAGCGGCGAGCGAAACGGGAAGAGCCCAAACCAACAAGCUUGCUUGUUGGGGUUGUAGGACACUCUAUACGGAGUUACAAAAGAACAUGUUAGACGAAUCAUCUGGAAAGAUGAAUCAAAGAAGGUAAUAAUCCUGUAGUCGAAAACAUAUUCUCUCUUGAGUGGAUCCUGAGUACGACGGAGCACGUGAAAUUCCGUCGGAAUCUGGGAGGACCAUCUCCUAAGGCUAAAUACUCUCUAGUGACCGAUAGUGAACCAGUACCGUGAGGGAAAGGUGAAAAGUACCCCGGAAGGGGAGUGAAAGAGAACUUGAAACCGUGUGCUUACAAGUAGUCAGAGCCCGUUAAUGGGUGAUGGCGUGCCUUUUGUAGAAUGAACCGGCGAGUUACGAUCUGAUGCAAGGUUAAGCAGCAAAUGUGGAGCCGCAGCGAAAGCGAGUCUGAAUAGGGCGUUGAGUAUUUGGUCGUAGACCCGAAACCAGGUGAUCUACCCUUGGUCAGGUUGAAGUUCAGGUAACACUGAAUGGAGGACCGAACCGACUUACGUUGAAAAGUGAGCGGAUGAACUGAGGGUAGCGGAGAAAUUCCAAUCGAACUUGGAGAUAGCUGGUUCUCUCCGAAAUAGCUUUAGGGCUAGCCUCAAGUGAUGAUUAUUGGAGGUAGAGCACUGUUUGGACGAGGGGCCCCUCUCGGGUUACCGAAUUCAGACAAACUCCGAAUGCCAAUUAAUUUAACUUGGGAGUCAGAACAUGGGUGAUAAGGUCCGUGUUCGAAAGGGAAACAGCCCAGACCACCAGCUAAGGUCCCAAAAUAUAUGUUAAGUGGAAAAGGAUGUGGCGUUGCCCAGACAACUAGGAUGUUGGCUUAGAAGCAGCCAUCAUUUAAAGAGUGCGUAAUAGCUCACUAGUCGAGUGACACUGCGCCGAAAAUGUACCGGGGCUAAACAUAUUACCGAAGCUGUGGAUUGUCCUUUGGACAAUGGUAGGAGAGCGUUCUAAGGGCGUCGAAGCAUGAUCGCAAGGACAUGUGGAGCGCUUAGAAGUGAGAAUGCCGGUGUGAGUAGCGAAAGACGGGUGAGAAUCCCGUCCACCGAUUGACUAAGGUUUCCAGAGGAAGGCUCGUCCGCUCUGGGUUAGUCGGGUCCUAAGCUGAGGCCGACAGGCGUAGGCGAUGGAUAACAGGUUGAUAUUCCUGUACCACCUAGUAUCGUUUUAAUCGAUGGGGGGACGCAGUAGGAUAGGCGAAGCGUGCUGUUGGAGUGCACGUCCAAGCAGUAAGGCUGAGUGUUAGGCAAAUCCGGCACUCAUAAGGCUGAGCUGUGAUGGGGAGAGGAAAUUGUUUCCUCGAGUCGUUGAUUUCACACUGCCGAGAAAAGCCUCUAGAUAGAUAACAGGUGCCCGUACCGCAAACCGACACAGGUAGUCAAGAUGAGAAUUCUAAGGUGAGCGAGCGAACUCUCGUUAAGGAACUCGGCAAAAUGACCCCGUAACUUCGGGAGAAGGGGUGCUCUUUAGGGUUCACGCCCAGAAGAGCCGCAGUGAAUAGGCCCAAGCGACUGUUUAUCAAAAACACAGGUCUCUGCUAAACCGUAAGGUGAUGUAUAGGGGCUGACGCCUGCCCGGUGCUGGAAGGUUAAGAGGAGUGGUUAGCUUCUGCGAAGCUACGAAUCGAAGCCCCAGUAAACGGCGGCCGUAACUAUAACGGUCCUAAGGUAGCGAAAUUCCUUGUCGGGUAAGUUCCGACCCGCACGAAAGG